rnacentral:misc_RNA from 1 species
GAUGAAGAACGCAGCGAAAUGCGAUAAGUAGUGUGAAUUGCAGAAUUCAGUGAAUCAUCGAAUCUUUGAACGCACAUUGCGCCCCUUGGUAUUCCAUGGGGCAUGCCUGUUCGAGCGUCAUUUGUACCCUCAAGCUUUGCUUGGUGUUGGGCGUCUUGUCGUAUUACGACUCGCCUUAAAUACAUUGGCAGCCGGCACUUUGGCCUAGGAGCGCAGCACAUUUUGCGAUCGUAGCCCGUUGUACUGGCGUCCAUCAAGAACAUUUACCACGUUUGACCUCGGAUCAGGUAGGGAUACCCGCUGAACUUAAGCAUAUCAAUAAGCGGAGA